UUGGUUUAAGUGAACUUAUUUUAGUUUUUGGUUUCCCAUCAAACUGACUCUUUGAUUGCAUGAGAGAUGGGGUGAAGAAGAAAUGUACAGAGAAUCUGAAAUGUUUUACUGCAGACUACAUUGUCAUGGACAGAAGCUGGGAAGGCAAGAUCAGCACCUGAAAAUAAGAAUAUUGAAAAUAACGGCCACAAAGAAAUUCCAUUAUAUAGGACAUGAAAAAGAACAGCAACAUGCACACAAUGAGAUUCAGGAAUGAAGAUACUGAUGACAAAACCGCCAUACCAUAAACAACAGAAACCAGACUUCUACUUUAAAGGCUUUUGAGAAAACUCUAAGUCACAAUUGUGUUAGAUUUAUAUUUAUAAAUGUCACAGAA